rnacentral:rRNA from 1 species
UGGGGAAUCUUCCGCAAUGGACGAAAGUCUGACGGAGCAACGCCGCGUGAGUGAAGAAGGUUUUCGGAUCGUAAAACUCUGUUUUCAGGGACGAAUGUGCGAUGCGUAAAUAAUGCAUUGUAAUGACGGUACCUGAGUAGAAAGCC